CAACCUUCCAGCUCGAGCACAAUCCCAACGCCAAAUACACCUAUGGAGCGUUCUGUGUCAAGAAAUGCCCACAUAACUUUGUGGUGGAUCACAGCUCUUGUGUCAGAGCCUGUCCGAGCAACAAGAUGGAGGUGGAGGAAAAUCACAUCAAGAUGUGCAUCCCAUGCACUGACAUCUGUCCGAAAGUGUGUGACGGUAUAGGUACCGGCAGUCUUCAG